UACGUAGGAUGCAAGCGUUGUCCGGAUUUACUGGGCGUAAAGCGCGCGCAGGCGGCUGGUCAAGCCCGACGUGAAAGCCCCCGGCUCAACCGGGGAGGGUCGUCGGGGACUGGCCGGCUUGAGGGCGGCAGGGGCUGGUGGAAUUCCCGGUGUAGUGGUGAAAUGCGUAGAUAUCGGGAGGAACACCAGUGGCGAAGGCGACUUCCUGGCCUGUUCUUGACGCUGAGGCGCGAAAGCUAGGGUAGCAAACGGG
rnacentral:rRNA from 1 species